GAGCUGGAGCUGGUGCCCAGUCCGGAUUGGGAAGGGCUGGGACCAUCCCUGGAGAGGAUGUGACGUCCCCUCUGAGAAGGCUGAGGACAUCCUUUGGGACACGCUCUUCUUCUGGCAGCAGAUCUUGUGAGACAGGACACCUCUGUCUGAUCUGCCGCGGAUCCGAGGGAUCUCUGGAUCUUCACGCCAGCACCAGGACUUUGCUGCAGAAGAGCACAGAUCCCCAACCCAGUCUGGGACACAGAACCUGUGAAAUGGCAGAAAGAUUGUGGUGUAAAUGCAGCGCCCUCAGAGCCCUUGGUGUGAGCCUGGAAAGGAAAAUCAAGGGCAAUGGUUAAAGCCUUGU